rnacentral:rRNA from 1 species
CCUACGGGUGGCAGCAGUCGAGAAUCAUUCACAAUGGGGGAAACCCUGAUGGUGCGACGCCGCGUGGGGGAAUGAAGGUCUUCGGAUUGUAAACCCCUGUCAUGUGGGAGCAAAUUAAAAAGAUAGUACCACAAGAGGAAGAGACGGCUAACUCUGUGCCAGCAGCCGCGGUAAUACAGAGGUCUCAAGCGUUGGUCGGAAUCACUGGGCGUAAAGCGUGCGUAGGCUGUUUCGUAAGUCAUGUGUGAAAGGCGGGGGCUCAACCCGCGGACGGCACAUGAUACUGGGAGACUAGAGUAAUGGAGGGGGAACCGGAAGUCGCGGUGUAGCAGUGAAAUGCGUAGAUAUCGAGAGGAACACUAGUGGCGAAGGCGGGUUCCUGGACAUUAACUGACGCUGAGGCACGAAGGCCAGGGGAGCGAAAGGGAUUAGAUACCCGAGUAGUC